GGGGCGCAUCCUGCGGGGGGCGCUGUCGGGGCCGGGCUGGCGGCCGGGCCUGGGUCCUGGCUCAGUCCUCCGCUCAGCCAGCACGGUAGUGAAAAGACCGCAAACCAGCGGUACCCAGCCGCAGAGGCUCCCUGGUUCCUCUGCCAAGGUGUCUCCAUUGGUAAAAGUCAGAAGGGCUGGACUGGGAGAGGCCAGUCCAGCUUUUGCUAUAUUUCCAGUUGGGGCUAAGCCAGUGUGUGAGUUGGGAGUCAACUCCCCUUCUCCUUUAAACGUUAGUUGGAAAGGAAAAUAUUCAGUUGUCACCAAGAAUCCACCACACCCCUAAACUGACAAUACUCAUUGAUGGUCCCAUGUUGCAAUAGUACAGAUUUAAGCAGGAAGCUAGAUGGUCCCUUUUCUGUGCGGGUGGCUCUACGGUUUAAAAUAUAGUUUACUCAAGGAAUUUAUUGCAUAUCUAAUACAUGGUAGGAUCUGGGAAGGGGACAGGAGAUAGAAACACUCAAAACCAAAAUGCCCUGGCCUUCAGAAGUUUACGAUUCAGUGAAGAUACUCAAAGGCUAUACCGCACACAAUACUUAGGGUGAGAUUGGGAGGGAAGCUAGUGAACAAAAGCUUAAAAAGGGAAAAACUACACUCUCAUAGACACAGUAACCAGAGUACAGAGGGAUUUGGGGUCUUAUUCGCACUGUUUUUAUCAUUCUUGUCCCAGAUUUGCAUGGUGAAAAUUUUGUGGGCCCUCAAAAAUGUUAAAUUUUUGAUUUAUUGAAAAUGAUAAUAAUGGGGCUCAUGUUUGAUGUACUAGUGUACAUUUUUGCUAGGCUUUUAAGUUAUUUUGUUGUGAAACAUCACAACAAAAUAGAGAAAAUAAAACUAUCUUUAGCUCUUACUAUGAACAUAACAUAUUCCAAAAUCACUAUUUUGUGAAAUUGUCUAUGAUGUAAUAUGUAGAAUUUCAGGCGCCACCAAUCACUUUAUUGGUGAGGAGUAGGACAGCUCAAGUUGAGGUAUCUAUGCUAUUAAUACUAUUCCUGCAAGAUUCACCCGGCCGUGCAUCCUCCAAGGAGUCUUUCUUCACUCUUCUAAUUAAAUUAUCUCUCUCUCCCAGCACACCUUAACCAAUCGUGUAAGAAGAAGAUUGUGCAGUGGAAAUUCCAGCCAAUGGGAUGAGACACAGCCAUAGGUCUGCAUUAGGUAUAGAAAGGGGAGGAACCCCCCCUGUAGCUCACUGGCCGGCUGCUCUUGCUGAGGAUCGGUGCCUUUCUGAUCAGAAGAAAAAAUUUUGCCUUACUGAGACAGUUUGCAGUGUCUAUUUUCUUAACAACAUUGUGGGUCAUUUCUAACAUAACCAAAACUUUGUACAUUUUAAUCAUUGCCUCUCCAUUUCCCACUUCCCUCAGCCCCUGGCACCCACCAUUCUAUGAGCUUUGCUUCUAUGAGCUUGACUAUCUUAGAGUCUAUAUGUAAGUGGAAUCAUACAGUAUUUGUCUUUCUGUGUCUGGUUUAUUUCACUUAACAUAAUGCCCCCCAGGCCCUUCUCCUAAAUAGCAGGAUUUCCUUCUUUUUUAGGUCAAAUAAUAUUACAUUACAUGUAUAUUGACAACCCAAAAUAAGUGACUGAAGCAAAGGUCUCAGUCAUGGAGGUUCAUUAAGCCAAAGUUGAGGACGAACCCAUGAAAAACAAAAACCACAGACAAACUGUGGUUGUUUUUCCAAAGCAGGAUUUGGGAACUCAGGUUUUAAAGGGUAUAGGGUAUAUAGAAAGAAACAAAGAAGAAGGGGGUGGGCAGUGAAACAAAAUGGUUACAUUCUUAUGAGACUAUAUUUUACAUAAGGAGAAUGUUAGAAGAGAAAAAAUGAGUGAAGGAAGCACCAAUUUUGCAGAUGUCCCCAGUGGGUGGCAGAAUGUUUGAUCUUGUCUCUGUUCUGCAUGUGGGAAGAUAAACCUAUAAUCGACAUGAUUCAUGUGGAAUCAAGCAGAUUUUAGUUUUAGGAUCUAGCCCCAAAGUUUCAAUUUGCUUAUGGGAGACCAGCAAGGAAUUUCCUUAUGAAUGAUCUGUGGGUGCAGGCCAUGGCAAAUGCCUGAGGCCCCUUACCUGACUAACUCAUAGUUAUUAUUAUUUUUUUUAGUUUCCAAGAACUCCUUGUUCUAAAGCUGUCAGCUCUGUGAGGGCAGGCCUUCUGCUCUGGGCCAGUCUCCAUGGCACCCCAGCACUUAGGCCCACCCAGCAUUGCAGAGCAUACCCUAGGAAAAUAGCCUAAGAUGAAAAUAGCACCCAGCCCUCCAG